rnacentral:rRNA from 1 species
GCCUUCGGCCAUACCACCCGUGAAACCGCCCGAUCUCGUCUGAUCUUCGGAAGCUAAGCAGGGACGGGCUUGGUUAGAACCUGGAUGGGAGACUGCCUUGGAAUACCAGGUG